rnacentral:tRNA from 1 species
AGUCUGAGUAGUUUAAAGGUCAAAACACUAAUUUCAUACGUUAGUAAUGAGAGUUCGACUCUCUCCUCAGACUU